ACAGUAAACAAUUCCCAGCAAAUCAAGAGGCACCUGAUAAAAAUUAUCCAAAAUCCUUGAAAGAACCAUUCCAGUAUAGGAAAUGCAUAGUGUUUUAAAGAAGGAAGAAAGUGAAAUUAUGGACUCAAAAGCCAGGAGAUGCAUGUAGAAAAUGCAGCAGUGGGAGAGAAUAUACACCAAAUGAUGGACAUUAAAAAGUAACCUGUAAAAAGUCAAUGCGUCUUUGCCUUGGUGAUGCUACCAGAGCUAGCUCUAACUGAAUAUACUUCUUUUAUUUCCAGAAUAUGAAAUUUUUACAGGCAUUAUGAGCUCCUGACACCUCUCUGCCAAGUCUGAACUUUCUUGAAUGCAUCAUGGGCAGGUACUGGAAGCAGAGAAUGUGGCUUUGUCUCUAUAUUAAAGCAAGACAUUCUCUGUAAAAACAACUUUCUGUAACGAUUUGAAAUUGACUGGUCUGUAGAGAUCAUGCACUGGUGGAGUUCACAGUCCUGAGGGAUAUGGGUCAGGCAAAGAGUAAAGUCAGGACCCUGAAUUUUGGGAAAACAAACUUCCAGCUCUUCAAGGAGUUAGUCAAUAGACUAAUAGGUAAACUGCCCUCAGAGACAAGGGAGAAGAACAAAAUUUUAAGGAUAUGUUCUACGGAGCACUAGCAAUCCCAAGAUGUAAUGAAUCGGGAAGGGAAGGCAAGAGACCAGCAUGACUGAGUGGAGACCUGCUGUUAAAACUAAAAGGCAAGAAGGAAAUGCACAGGCAGUGGCGGCAGGCACAGGUAUCCUGGGAAGACUGUAGGGAUUCUAUCUAGUUUUGUAGGGAUGAGGAAAUAAGGCCAAGGCAUGAACGGAGCUGAAUUUGACAAGGAAUGCAAAAAAUACUAAAGGCUUCUACAGGUAUGUCAGGCAAAAAAAGGAAGACUAAAGAAAGCGUACCCUCCU